GUCCACGCCCUAAACGAUGUCAACUAGUUGUUGGUAGAGUAAAAUCUAUGGGUAACGCAGCUAACGCGUGAAGUUGACCGCAUGGGGAGUACGAUCGCAAGAUUAAAACUCAAAUGAAUUGACGGGGGCCCCGCACAAGCGGUGGAUUAUGUGGAUUAAUUCGAUGCAACGCGAAAACCUUACCUGGCCUUGACAUGUACCGAAUUUACCAGAGAUGGUUUAGUGCUCGAAAGAGAACGGUAACACAGGUGCUGCAUGGCUGUCGU
rnacentral:rRNA from 1 species